rnacentral:rRNA from 1 species
GAUGAACGCUGGCGGCGUGCCUAAUACAUGCAAGUCGAGCGAACAGACGAGGAGCUUGCUCCUCUGACGUUAGCGGCGGACGGGCGAGUAACACGUGGAUAACCUACCUAUAAGACUGGGAUAACUUCGGGAAACCGGAGCUAAUACCGGAUAAUAUAUUGAACCGCAUGGUUCAAUAGUGAAAGACGGUUUUGCUGUCACUUAUAGAUGGAUCCGCGCCGCAUUAGCUAGUUGGUAAGGUAACGGCUUACCAAGGCAACGAUGCGUAGCCGACCUGAGAGGGUGAUCGGCCACACUGGAACUGAGACACGGUCCAGACUCCUACGGGAGGCAGCAGUAGGGAAUCUUCCGCAAUGGGCGAAAGCCUGACGGAGCAACGCCGCAUGAGUGAUGAAGGUCUUCGGAUCGUAAAACUCUGUUAUUAGGGAAGAACAAAUGUGUAAGUAACUAUGCACGUCUUGACGGUACCUAAUCAGAAAGCCACGGCUAACUACGUG